GAAGGAACAACGCAACCCUAACGCGAACUGAAGGCCUUCGCAGUCUCUUCCCCUUCCUUUUUCUCUUCUCCUUGGCUCCUAAUCGAGGUCCCUCCGCACUCUUACUCUGGGGCCUUUGCUCGACCUCGCUCCCGCAGUCUCUCUACUCCGUUGCCACGGAGGUUGAUUUCGGCCACCAUAAGCCUUAUCUUCUGAUUUUGCCCAAUCCAAGUUGCGACCAUCAAAGCUAUUUCCACCCACAGAGGAUUGCAUGUUCUUUGGAUUUGAGAUUGUGUGGAUGUACUAUUGGUAUUCAAAGCCAUUGUAUUUUGCUAAGAGAUUGGUAGCACCAAGGUACAAUCAAGGUUUGAAGGGUUUUUUUGCCAAAUGACAUUUCCAAACUUCAUAAUCUGCAAAUCCUUUGAGUUUCUUCUCCUACAAUAAUUGUUGAAAGAGCAGGGUCCUUUGCUUGGGCACAUAAAAGCUGGAGAGUCAGAGAGGAGUUUACACGCAGCUACAAUUAAUCUAUUUGCAGCUACUGAGCUUCCACUUCAACAAGCUAUCCUCCCUCCUUAUUGACUUUUACAAAUAAGCAGUACAUAUCUUUUGUACAUUUAAAUAUUGUUGGCAUGUAAUAAUAACUCCUUCCAAAACAUGAUUGAUUGUCAGGUUUUGCAAUUGCUUAAUGAUCCAAAUCUUGCUGUUAGGGAAGCAGCUAUUUUGUGCAUUGAGGCAAUUCUAACUUGUUCUUUUAUUGAGAAAGACUAUAAGAAAAUAACAGUAGCUGCAACAAGGACACUCCAAAUGAUCAAGAAAGCCAAAGAGCUAGCAAUCUUCUGCACUACACAAGUUGGCCUUGUCAUAUUCUCCAGCACGAGAAAGCUUUACGAAUAUGCUAGCACCAGCUUUACAAAGAGGCCUAUUGAAGGAAAUGCAACAAUGAAUCAGGAUUUAAGAAGCUGACUUCACAUAUUGGAAUAUAGUAAAGCCCUGCCUAUGCGACGAAGUGGACCACGAGAGAAACAAUUCAACUGCAGUUAUAUUUCUUACUAUUAUUUUUAGCUAGUUCUUAUAAUUGAAUUUGUGUUCAAUUCUUUUGUAGAAUGCGCCUUACUUGUGUAAAAAAGAUGGGAUUGUUCUUCAGUGCCUGCAUGUAAGUUCUCUAAAUUAAAGGACCAGUGUUUUGGAGUUUCGUUUCUCCUUCUAUAUUGUUCAUUGCCAAUGGUGUUCUUUCCCAUUCAGGACUUCCUUCAAUAUUCAUCUGACCAAAAUACUUGUGUUGUUGGUUAGCUUGAGUACGUUGGAUUAUUAUCUCAACUUGAAAACAUCUAGCUGAAAAUAUUACGUGUUUAAUAAAAAAUUAA